GAUGAAGAACGUAGCGAAAUGCGAUACGUAAUGUGAAUUGCAAAUUCAGUGAAUCAUCGAGUCUUUGAACGCACAUUGCGCCCCCUGGUAUUCCGGGGGGCAUGCCUGUCCAAGCGUCAUUGCUGCCCUCAAGCACGGCUUGUGUGUUGGGCCCCGUCCUCCGAUCCCGGGGACGGGCCCGAAAGGCAGCGGCGGCACCGCGUCCGGUCCUCGAGCGUAUGGGGCUUUGUCACCCGCUCUGUAGGCCCGGCCGGCGCUUGCCGAUCAACCCAAAUUUUUAUCCAGGUUGACCUCGGAUCAGGUAGGGAUACCCGCUGAACUUAAGCAUAUCAAUAAGCGGAGGA
rnacentral:misc_RNA from 1 species